rnacentral:rRNA from 1 species
GACGAACGCUGGCGGCGUGCUUAACACAUGCAAGUCGAACGGAAAGGCCCUGCUUUUGUGGGGUGCUCGAGUGGCGAACGGGUGUGUAACACGUGAGUACCAUGCCCUUGACAUUGGGGUAUCUUCAGGAAACAGGGGCUAAUAUCGGAUAUGCGCUCCUGCUGCGCGGUGGGGGUUGGUGAGUUUCGGCGGUUGGGGGUGGACUCGCGGCUUCUCAGCUUGUUGGUGGGGUGGUGGCUUACCAAGGCGUUGACGGGUAGCCGGCCUGAGAGGGUGACCGGCCACAUUGGGACUGAGACACGGCCCAGACUCCUACGGGAGGCAGCAGUGGGGAAUAUUGCACAAUGGGCGGAAGCCUGAUGCAGCAACGCCGCGUGCGGGAUGACGGCCUUCGGGUUGUAAACCGCUUUCGGCUGGGACGAAGCGUGAGUGACGGUAAUGGGUGAAGAAGCACCGGCUAACUACGUG